CAUACAGAUAACGAACAAUCCGA
rnacentral:snRNA from 1 species